GGGCUGGUAGUUCAGUGGUACGAAUGUUUGCUUCGCAAGCAAAAGGUCGUGGGUUCAAAUCCCACCCAGUCCA
rnacentral:tRNA from 1 species